rnacentral:rRNA from 1 species
CAACCCAUGUGAACAUACCUGUUGCCUCGGCGGCCUACGCGGCAGCUACCCUGUAGCUACCCUGUAGUCCGCCGACGGAUUUUCAAAACUCUUGUUUUCAGCUGUAUCUCUGAGAAUAAAACAAAUAAAUCAAAACUUUCAACAACGGAUCUCUUGGUUCUGGCAUCGAUGAAGAACGCAGCGAAAUGCGAUAAGUAAUGUGAAUUGCAGAAUUCAGUGAAUCAUCGAAUCUUUGAACGCACAUUGCGCCCAUUAGUAUUCUAGUGGGCAUGCCUGUUCGAGCGUCAUUAAUUCCACUUAAGCCCAGCUUAGUGUUGGGAGACUGCGCCGGCGGUAGCUACCCUGUAGCUACCCUGCAGCUCCUCAAAGACAGCGGCGGAGUUGUGAUAUCCUCUGAGCUUAGUAACUUGUUCUAGCUUUCGAGUGUACCACUUCCCCUGCCGUAAAACCCUUAAUUUUUUAAUGGUUGACCUCGGAUCAGGUAGGAAUACCCGCUGAACUUAA